rnacentral:rRNA from 1 species
AUGGAGUUUUGUGCCGUCAAAGAUCGGGCCAACAAUGAAUCGACCCUCGCCUCGAGGUUCGCUCCUCAUCAAGUGGUAUCAGAGACCGGUGUUUCUCAUGGCACUUCGGAGGAGAUGGCCGGCGCGCCGUCACCAAGGAGCUAUUGGAGGCUCUCCGGCGACUUUUUGCUGGAGGAGAAAGGCUAUGGUGCUGAACUUUUCCACACCUAUUGUAAGGUGGGAGAGAAACUUUGCGCCAUGACGAUCGACCAUGAUAGUUCGAUCAACGCGGUCGGCGUCGACAUGGUGGAGAAGCUGCAACUAUCGAUGACACCACAUCCACGACCAUACUCACUGAGGAGGUACCACGGCAAGCUCGACAUUACGCACCAAACUACAGUACUGUUCUCAGUUGGCAAAUUUUCUUGUGUGGUUAUGUGCGACGUAAUUCCGGUACCGAUGAUUUCUUGUCAUAUGUUGUUGGGAAAGCCGUGA